AGAGUUUGAUCAUGGCUCAGGACGAACGCUGGCGGCGUGCCUAAUACAUGCAAGUCGAACGAAGUAGCAAUACUUAGUGGCAGACGGGUGAGUAACACGUAGUCAACCUACCUUUAAGUGGGGGAUAACUAGCCGAAAGGUUAGCUAAUACCGCAUGUGAUCGUCGAGCGGCAUCGCUUGACGAUCAAAGCAGCAAUGCG
rnacentral:rRNA from 1 species